rnacentral:rRNA from 1 species
GACGAACGCUGGCGGCGUGCUUAACACAUGCAAGUCGAACGAUGAUGACUGGUGCUUGCACUGGUUGGAUUAGUGGCGAACGGGUGAGUAAUACGUGAGUAACCUGCCUUUAACUCUGGGAUAAGCCUGGGAAACUGGGUCUAAUACCGGAUAUGACAAUUGUUCGCAUGAAUGGUUGUGGAAAGGGUUUGUACUGGUUUUAGAUGGGCUCACGGCCUGUCAGCUUGUUGGUGGGGUAAUGGCUCACCAAGGCGACGACGGGUAGCCGGCCUGAGAGGGUGACCGGCCACACUGGGACUGAGACACGGCCCAGACUCCUACGGGAGGCAGCAGUGGGGAAUAUUGCACAAUGGGCGCAAGCCUGAUGCAGCGACGCCGCGUGAGGGAUGACGGCCUUCGGGUUGUAAACCUCUUUCAGCAGGGAAGAAGCGAAAGUGACGGUACCUGCAGAAGAAGCGCCGGCUAACUACGUGCCAGCAGCCGCGGUAAUACGUAGGGCGCGAGCGUUGUCCGGAAUUAUUGGGCGUAAAGAGCUUGUAGGCGGUUUGUCGCGUCUGCUGUGAAAGACCGGGGGCUUAACCCCCGUAUUGCAGUGGGUACGGGCAGACUAGAGUGCAGUAGGGGAGACUGGAAUUCCUGGUGUAGCGGUGAAAUGCGCAGAUAUCAGGAGGAACACCGAUGGCGAAGGCAGGUCUCUGGGCUGUAACUGACGCUGAGAAGCGAAAGCAUGGGGAGCGAACAGGAUUAGAUACCCUGGUAGUCCAUGCCGUAAACGUUGGGCACUAGGUGUGGGGGACAUUCCACGUUUUCCGCGCCGUAGCUAACGCAUUAAGUGCCCCGCCUGGGGAGUACGGCCGCAAGGCUAAAACUCAAAGGAAUUGACGGGGGCCCGCACAAGCGGCGGAGCAUGCGGAUUAAUUCGAUGCAACGCGAAGAACCUUACCAAGGCUUGACAUAUACUGGAUCGUCGUAGAGAUACGGUUUCCCUUCGGGGCUGGUAUACAGGUGGUGCAUGGUUGUCGUCAGCUCGUGUCGUGAGAUGUUGGGUUAAGUCCCGCAACGAGCGCAACCCUCGUUCUAUGUUGCCAGCACGUGAUGGUGGGGACUCAUAGGAGACUGCCGGGGUCAACUCGGAGGAAGGUGGGGAUGACGUCAAAUCAUCAUGCCCCUUAUGUCUUGGGCUUCACGCAUGCUACAAUGGCCGGUACAAAGGGUUGCGAUACUGUGAGGUUGAGCUAAUCCCAAAAAGCCGGUCUCAGUUCGGAUUGGGGUCUGCAACUCGACCCCAUAAAGUCGGAGUCGCUAGUAAUCGCAGAUCAGCAACGCUGCGGUGAAUAAGUUCCCGGGCCU